rnacentral:rRNA from 1 species
GAACGGGUGAGUAACACGUGGGAAACCUACCUCUUAGCAGGGGAUAACAUUUGGAAACAGAUGCUAAUACCGUAUAACAAUGACAACCGCAUGGUUGUUAUUUAAAAGAUGGUUCUGCUAUCACUAAGAGAUGGUCCCGCGGUGCAUUAGCUAGUUGGUAAGGUAAUGGCUUACCAAGGCGAUGAUGCAUAGCCGAGUUGAGAGACUGAUCGGCCACAAUGGGACUGAGACACGGCCCAUACUCCUACGGGAGGCAGCAGUAGGGAAUCUUCCACAAUGGGCGAAAGCCUGAUGGAGCAACGCCGCGUGUGUGAUGAAGGGUUUCGGCUCGUAAAACACUGUUGUAAGAGAAGAAUGACAUUGAGAGUAACUGUUCAAUGUGUGACGGUAUCUUACCAGAAAGGAACGGCUAAAUACGUGCCAGCAGCCGCGGUAAUACGUAUGUUCCAAGCGUUAUCCGGAUUUAUUGGGCGUAAAGCGAGCGCAGACGGUUAUUUAAGUCUGAAGUGAAAGCCCUCAGCUCAACUGAGGAAUUGCUUUGGAAACUGGAUGACUUGAGUGCAAUAGAGGAAAGUGGAACUCCAUGUGUAGCGGUGAAAUGCGUAGAUAUAUGGAAGAACACCAGUGGCGAAGGCGGCUUUCUGGACUGUAACUGACGUUGAGGCUCGAAAGUGUGGGUAGCAAACAGGAUUAGAUACCCUGGUAGUCCACACCGUAAACGAUGAGUGCUAGGUGUUUGAGGGUUUCCGCCCUUAAGUGCCGCAG